rnacentral:lncRNA from 1 species
CUGCUAAAGUUGUCGACAGAAAAUAGUUCUUAAAAUAAAAUCACAAGGAGCGUGUAAGCAUAGCAGCAUUAAAAAUAAUAAAAAUAUAAAUUUUAUUUUAAAGCGAGCUAUAAUUAAUCGUAAGUAAGCGAAGAAGAAUACCGAAUGGGAAUUUCUUAUAAAUAAAUUCUUAGCUCUUAGAAAAAAUCAAAAAGAUGGCAUGCAGCAAACUUGAAGCCGUUAAGGAAUACAAUUCCGACAAUUCAAGCUCUUCUAGCUCUGAGUUUUUGUCACUGAGCAGUGAAUUUAGCGAUUUGCGUCUUUCAAAAACCAAAAUUCCUGGCCCCCAAGUCCCUCCAACUCAAAAGAGUGAGCAAGCUGAAGAAAAAGCCUCCAUUGUGGAGAACUAUUCAGACGAAAUCGAUUCAAAUGGGUCAGAUGACUCAUGGGUCUCCACGGGCAGAACUAUUUAUCUGCCUAACACAAAAAUUCCUGCGCCGGUAUCGUUGGGCCGCCUAGUUAAGCCACGAAAAUAUCGAAUGAUCUUUCCCCGGGACAAUAAUUGGUCAUUUGCCUUUUAAACUUCUCCUGGUCACUGUUAACUUUCUUUCGUUUAAUGUUAAUUUUUAGUUCAAUGUUUUAUUUUCAAAAUUGCCAAAAAAUAUGUAAAUUGC